rnacentral:rRNA from 1 species
GACGUAGGGCGCGAGCGUUGUCCGGAUUUAUUGGGCGUAAAGCGCUCGUAGGCGGUUUGUCGCGUCUGCCGUGAAAGUCCGGGGCUCAACUCCGGAUCUGCGGUGGGUACGGGCAGACUAGAGUGAUGUAGGGGAGACUGGAAUUCCUGGUGUAGCGGUGAAAUGCGCAGAUAUCAGGAGGAACACCGAUGGCGAAGGCAGGUCUCUGGGCAUUAACUGACGCUGAGGAGCGAAAGCAUGGGGAGCGAACAGG